UACGUAGGAGACGAGCGUUGUCCGGAUUCAUUGGGCGUAAAGAGCUCGUAGGCGGCUUGGCAAGUCGGGUGUGAAAACUCCAGGCUCAACCUGGAGACGCCACCCGAUACUGCCAUGGCUAGAGUCCGGUAGGGGACCACGGAAUUCCUGGUGUAGCGGUGAAAUGCGCAGAUAUCAGGAGGAACACCGGUGGCGAAGGCGGUGGUCUGGGCCGGCACUGACGCUGAGGAGCGAAAGCGUGGGGAGCGAACAGG
rnacentral:rRNA from 1 species